GUCCACCCUCCCUCGCUUUCCACAUCCUGCACGGGAGCAGGACAUUUGUUACAAUUAAUGAACCUACAUUUACACAUCGUCAUCUUCUGGGUUUUAAACUUCUUUUUUUCAGUGUUGCUCUAGAAAUUACAAUAUUAAUCCUUAAGCUAUCACAGUCUACCUUGAGUUAAUAUCAUCUCACUUCUCAUAUUAUGUAAGAGCAUAAUUUCAUUUACACCUUUCCUUCUCUUUGUGUUAUUGUUGUCAUAUGUUUUAUUCCUACAUUUGUUAUGAAUACCAUCACACAUUGUUAUUGUUUUUACUUUAACUAGUCAAUAGUCUUUUAAAUAAAUUCUUGUAAACACCUCCAUACUUACCAUUUCUUUUUUUUUUUUUUUUAGUGUAUAAAGAAUUUUUUUUUAUUUGAUUUUUUUUCCUUUUUCUCCCCAAAGCCCCCCAGUACAUAGUUGUAUAUUCUUCGUUGUGGGUCCUUCUAGUUGUGGCACGUGGGACGCUGCCUCAGCAUGGCUUGAUGAGCAGUGCCAUGUCCGCGCCCAGGAUUCGAACCAACAAAACACUGGGCCGCCUGCGGCGGAGCACACGAACUCAACCACUCAGCCAUGGGGCCACCCCCAUCCUUACAUUUCUGAUGCUCUUUGUUCCUUCCUGCAGAUUUAUGAUUCUAUCUGGGACUAUUUCUCUUUAGCCUGAAGGCCAUCCUUAGUAUUUGUUGUAUUGAAGUUCUGCUGCCAGCAAAUUAUCUCAGUGUUUGUUUUCCUGAAAAUGCCUUUAUUUUACCUUGAGUUUUGAAGGACGUUUUCACUGGAUAAAGAAUUCUAGGUUGGCAGUUUUCUUUCAGUGCUUUAAAGAUGUUGUCCUAUUAUUUUCUGGCUUCCAAUGUUCCUGAUGAGAAGUCAGCCAUAAUUCUUAUUGUUCUUCCCUUGAAUGUGAUUUGUCCUUUUUUUCUCCAGCUGAUUUUUAAGAAAGUUCUCUUUAUCUGUGAUUUUAGUAAUUUGACUAUGAUUUUCUGUGUAUGGUGUUUUUGUAUUUAUCCUCCUUGAGGUGUGCUGAGUUUCUUGAAUCUGUGGGUUGAUAUCUGUCAUUCGUUUUGGAAAAUGUUUGGUCAUUAUCUCUUCAAAUAUUUUCUCUGUCCCAUUCUCUUUCUCCUUUCAUUCUGGAACUCUAAAUACACAUAUAUUAGCCCAUUUAAUUUGUCCCGUAGUUCUUGGAUGCUUUGUUCCAUCUUAUUUUAUUAUUCUUUUUUUUCCCUGUAUGCUUUAUUUUGGAUAAUUUCUGUUGACCCGUCUUUGAUCCUUUCUUCACAGAUCCUUUCUUCUGCCAUGUCCAAUAUGCUAUUAAAGUAUCUCCAAGGAAUUCUUCAUUUCAGAUACUGUAUUUUUCUGUUCAAGAAUUUCCAUUUAAAACGUUUCAUUUCUAUGCUGAAUUCCCCCAUUUGUGCAAAUGUUUUGUCCAUCUUUUCCUUUAAAUCCUUUAAUACGUUUAUAUAUUUAGUCUUUGCCAAUUCCAGCACCUGGAUUAUAUUGAGUUUACUGCUAGUGACUUUUUUCUCUUGACUAUAGGUCACAUUUCCUACUUCUUUACGUGUCUAGUAAUUUCUUAUUAUAUGUUAGACAGUUUGAAUGUUACAUUGUGGAAAUCUGGAUUAUGAUAUCACCCUCUGAAGAGCGUUGUUGUCUUUUUUUCUGGUGGGCAGAUAACUAACCAGAGGAUCGUCUUGAUCUUGUUGAGAAUUGAUUUUAGACUUUGUUACAAUGAGUCAAUUUCAGUUUUACCCACAGCCCUAGGGUGAAGCCCUUCUCAAUAGUAGCCUUUCUAGAUUUUCAGCAGAAUUCUCAGAGUAUUCUCCAAGGUCUCUCCUCUCUCAUUGGCUCAGGACUCCAAUAUUACUUCAACACUGAGAUCUCUGAAAUCUCUGUUCAGCCCUCAGCCUCCAAGCAGGUUUUCUGCCAGGCCUUGUGGAGUCUUGCCCUGUGCUUGCACACCUUAGGAUUCAGCUGUGGACCUGAAGGGAAUCCCUGUGCAGAUUUUGAAGGCUCCAUCUCUGCUGCUUCUUCUCUGUAAUCUUUCUUUGGUAAUCUGCCCCACAAAUUCUAGCAGUUUUAACAGCCCUAAACUCUGAACUCUCUUUCUACACCCAGUGGACUUUAGCUCUUUGCUUGGAAUCUGCUUUCCUGUGCCAUAGUUUGAAAACUACCCCCAGGCAGAAAGUCAAGGUGAAUGUGGAGCUCAGCCUUGUGCUUCCUUUUGCUUGAGGGUGAUAGCCUUGCAUUGCCUGUGGUUCAAUGCCUGAUAGUGUUUAUUUCAUAUAUUUUGUCCAGUUUUAUAGUUAUUUAUGUCAGGCAGAUAAGUCCCAUACCAGCUACUCUGCCAUGGAUAGAACCAGAAAUUUCUCCUAUUCUUCUCUGAGUCCUUUCCAAUUAAGCUUUUAUCCUCAAGACCCCAGUCUUUUCAAGGUCACUACUGACCUCCACUUUGCUGACUCUGAUUUUCAUUACGAGGUCUCAUCUAACCUGAACGUUCAGCAGCAGUCUCCAUUGUUGAACACCCUCUUCUUGAAACACCUUUUUUUUUCACUUGGCCUCCAGGAAACCAUUGUUUCUUGAUUUUCCUCUUACUUCAGUGACAGCACCACUUUAGUCUUCUUUGCUUGUUCCUCCUCAUCUUCUUGGCCUCCAAGUGCUGGAAAGCCUCAGAGCUCACUAAGAUCUCUUCUUUUCUCUUCUUGGGAAUCGCAUUGAUUCCCAAGGCUUUAAAUACCAUCUACAUAUUCACAAUUCCUAAAUUUGUAUUUCCAGCCUUGAUCUCUGCCCUGAAAUCCAGACUUGGGGCUCCAACUGCUUUUUUUAACAUCUCCACUUGGGAGUCUAAAAAGCAUCCCAAAUUUAACAUGUCCAAAACAGAACUUAUAAUUUUUUCCUUCACAAGCCUGCCUUUCCCAUCUUAAUAAAUAACUCCAAUCUUCCAGUUUUUCAGGCCAAUAAUUUUGGAGUCAUCCUUGAAACUUCUCUUUUACUCAAACCCCACACCCAACCCACCCAAGACCUUUCGUUGGCUCAGCCUUAGAAAUCUGCCCACCAUCUCUCUCCUGGAUUAUUGCAACACUUCCUAAACAGCUUCCUUGCUUCCACCCUUGCCCUCUGUAUCAGCCAGGGACAUGGCAGGCUACAGAUGGCACACUCAGAGGAUACGACUGCAGAGAAUUUAUGAAAGGGGCUGAUCACAAGUUGUGGGUGGGGUCAAGGGUACCAACAAGGGAUAGUGAAGCAUCCUGUCACCACCCCUAGGAUGAGUAAGAGUGAUAGAUGCUAGAAAGGACCUCUUGAUGGGAGCCAUAGCCUUUGGCAGAAAAAGUCAGCAACUGCCACACUACAGCCCAGCAGUGAGAGAGCCAGAGGAAUCUGAUCUUGUGCCCCUGUCUUCCUCUGGCUGGACCUAACUGGAAGCCAAAGUGUUGGGAGUCCAUUGAUAUAGUGCAUGGAGGUUAGCCUCCCUGGGCAGAAAGCCGGGUAGAGAAGGGGAUGGUGGGUUUAGAAGGCAAAUGGGGAAUCUCCAUCAAACCCGAUCCCCUCCUCACAUAUGCACACACUGUGGUCCAUCCUCCACAGAGCAGCCAGAGUGAUGUGUUCACUGCAGCAGAGCAGAGGGGAGAGCAGAGCCACAAGAUGGAUGGGGCCUGGGUCUGAGAAACACUCGAUGGAGGGGACCUGCCUGCCGACCAGGAAACCUCUAUUGUGUUUGAGUUAAUAGAUAUUUGGGAGUCUCUUUGUUACAGUUUAGCCCACUUGACUGAUACUUCUGUGAAACAAGGGUCACAAGAGUGUCAUCUCCAUAGGGUUGCUGGGAGAAUUAAAUAAGAUAUAAUUGCUUAGGGCAAUGCUUAGCAUAUUGUAAGUUCUCAAGCAAUCAUAACAAUUAUAAAUAUUUGAAAUGAAUACAUAAUCAUGCUAUUAAUCAUUUUUUUCAAAUGCCUCAUUACAGGUUUUGGGGAUUUUUCUAGAGAAUAGACAAAUUGUGGAGGGUAUAGGUAUAUAUGGGAGGAGAGAAUUACAGCCUCCCCCCCACAAGAGGCUUCUGGUCCACUUGGCCUCCAGGCAGAGAACCCAAGAGCUUGUUCCAGCCCUGUCCUGAGCAAAACACCCCCACUGGGGUCACACUGUGGUACCCAGUCUCCAAAGAUGGCCUCACGGGACCAUGACUCCCAGCACCCGCUCCCCUGGGAGGUCCCUCCCACACUGAAUCUGGGCUGACCUGUGACUCAGUUCAGGAUAGGGCAGAAGGUACUCUGUGCCUGUUCCAGGUCAAUGCCUUCCACUCUUGCACUUUUGGGAGCCCUAAGUCGUGACAAGCAGUGUGGCUCCCCUGUGGGAGAGACCAUGUGGAGGGGUCACGUGGAUAGGCAGAGACCCUGAGACUCCGUGGAGAUGGAGAGAGAGGCCCAGUCAUCCCAAUGAACCAGAUGAGGCCAGCCUUCCGGUUGUCCCCGCAAAGGCACAAGCCACGUGUAUGAGCCAUCUGCAAGCUCUCCAGCCGGGUGGAGCCCCAGACGACGGCCACUCAGCCAACAUCAGAGAGCAGAAGACUCAUCUGGCUGGGCCCAGUCAACCCUCAGAGUCGAGAGAGCAUAAAAUGGCAGUUGUGUCAAGUCACUUAGUUUUUGGGUGGUUUGUACAUGGCAGCAGGUAACCAAACAGCAACCAGAGCCGGCCCACGGGAGCAGCGUUUGCUGCCUUGAAUUUCCAGCUCGCCCAGCCUCUCACUACAGGGAAACCAAGGGCCAUGUUGCAACCAGAUGCAGGCGGGCUGGGGUGGGAUUCUCCAGGCUCUCUUGGGUGGGGGGGAGUCUGAAUCCUGCCCCCUUGCCGACUGGGGAGGCUGGGCUCCCUCCGCUUGUCUCCAUUCCUCUUCUUGAUUGGCACUUUAAUGAGGGCAGAAGGGGCUGACCCCCUGCCAGGGGGCCAGUUCAUGCCCCGUUUAUCUCGCAGCUCGAGGCAGACUAGAACAACACUGCAGGCGAGCGGCCGGCCAGGAGCCCCCGCCCUCGGUGAUGGAUUGAGUGACCGCGGCGAGUUGGCAGCUGAAGUGUGUGGUGGCUGCACCGUCCUGUCAGCGUGCAACAAAGGGGCCCGCUCGCCAAGCUGCUCUUCCCGGGAAGAAUGACGAGCAGCUCCCAGGGCCCGGCCGCCCUCCCCCAACUCCAACGCCAAGUUUCAAAAGACAGGCCUGAGGAUGGGGCCCAGGAUGCUGGAGGAACUGUUCUGGGGUCCAGGGGGCUGGUGCAUGGGGGUUGGGGAAUUCUGGGCUUGCAGGAAGAGCUGGCACAGAAAACUUUUUCUCUCUGCCUCCUAGUUUCAGGGUCCAAGCCUGGGCCAUAUUCUCAGCAAACAGCCCUCCUGACUGUUUCAUCGAUGGGCUCCAGAGUCCAGCAACCUGUGGGGGAUCCCAGCUGGGCCUUCUACUUGCUGUGCAACUUUACCCCCAGUCGGAAUGAGUCACAGCCCCGGCUUGUAGCCUGAAGAGCUCCACCGGCCCUUCCUUCACAGUUCAUGCGUGUUACGAGUCGCCUUCCGUCUGUCUGUGUGGGUAUUUGGUCCAUGAUGAUGAGCUUGUGUGGACAGGGGCCUUCGCUGCUCACCUAGGCGUCCCCAGCCCCUGGCAGACAGCCUGGCACAGCAGAUGCUCAAUAAAUACUUGCAGACCAGAUACCAUUGCCAGCGUGCGUCUCCCAGUAAACUGGGGACUCUCCUGGGGCAGGGACGUGUCCUGUCUUGUUCAUCAUUAUAGCCCCAAACUCAGAGCCUUGCACAGAGAAGGCUCUUGUGGGAUAUUUGGUAAAUGAAUGAAUUUGCUGCAGAAGAAAAAAGAAAGCAAGAGCAGCCAUAACCACAAAAUCAAGGAAGCUGACCUAGUUUGGGGCAAGAACUGCUGAGAAUGAGGAGAUUCUGAGUCCUUUCAUUUCAAAAGAAUUGUUCCACAUGCUUCACUGAGCCAGGUCCCUGGGGAACCAUGACAUCAGGGAAAGCUGACUGAGCCUGAGACAAGAUCAACUAAAUUACUCCAACUGGUCGACCUCUGCCGACUCUCAUGUCUGCCCACUUGCUCUUGGACAGUUGAAGGAGAGAGGUGACCCUAACACAAUCCAGGACAGCUCUGAAAAAGGAACAGACAUCAAAAACCACAAACUUUCCAAUAUUCUAAGUUUGUGAACAAAGUAGAAUGUCUGGAAAUGGGAGGUAAAGGAAGAAUGGCUACAAUAUAUAAAGAGCUCAUUAAAAUAAACAAGACAAACAUCAAGAGUCCAAGAUAUGUGAGCAAAGAGCAUGAAAAGAUCAUUUACAUACAAAGAAAUCAGAGUAAAGCAGCUGACAUUCAUGGAGUGCUUAUCCUGGGGUAAGCAUCCCAUCAAGAGUUUUACAUAUCAGGGGCUGGGCUGUGGUCGAGUGGUUGAGUUCCUGUGCUCUGCUUUGGCAGCCUGAGGUUCCCCAGUUCAGAUCCUGGGCGCAGACCGACACACCGCUCAUCAGGCCAUGCUGUGGUGGCAUCCCACAUAAAAAAGCCAGAAUGACCUAGAACUAUGAUAUACAGCUAUGUACUGGGGCUUUGGGGAGAAAAAAAAAAGAGGAAGAUUGGCAACAGACGUUAUCUCAAGACCAAUCUUCCUCACCACAAGAAGCAUACCAAAAAAAAAAGUUUUACAUCUUAUUUAAUCAUCACAGGAAGUCCAGCAAGAAAAUUCAACCAACAAAUGUGAAGUUAGGUGACUGUGACAUGUUCCUCAUUUUUUCUAUAGUAUCUAUGAAAUGCUGUAAUCUUUUUGUUUGUCCCAAGAAAACUCUUGCAUUGCUGUCUUAAUGAAAUCUCUCCAGCCCUGCUGGUCUCUGCAGGAUAUAAUUCAUUCAUUCAGCUGUGAAAGGCCGGAAAAUGUUUACAUAUUCACAACUCCGAUGUCUGUGUCUGGAAUAAAAUUAACUUAUUUCUGAGUUGUCUGGGUUCUGUGGGUAACGUGAUUACUAUCAUAUAGUCAAGCUACUCUUGAAAGACUCGUUUAGCAGUCCUGAGGAAUAGUAGAAACAUGAAAAUACGUUGUAAGCUUUUAGGGCAAAGACCGUGCUUUGAUUCUGGUUCUCUGAAAGUGCUCCUGGGCCUAAAGCUCCUAUAAAUACACAGAUGAAAAGAAAGUGAUUGGCUGAACUGGAAAAAAAAAAAAAGGGAUCGCAAGGACCCCAUGAGGAGGCGGCAUCAUCCCUCUUAUAUCUGCCUGUCUGGGGCUGGAGGUUCGUGAACUGACCGCGCUCACCUGCUCUGAACCAGCGCGUUGGGAAGAUUUAUCCUCAGGACGAUCCUAGAAGAGCAGGUGAAGGCAGCCCCGGGGGACUGGUUUACUAGUACCAAGUUAGCCAGACCACGGGUAAGGCCACGCCCGGUCCCGGCAGGCGUGCAGAGAAAUUCACAGCCGUACCCUGCAGCCGGCGGCAUUGCACAUUGGUGUCGCUCUUUUGAAAAUAAACGGGAUGACACCCAGAAAGAAGCCAUACAACGAUUUAUGUUCUUGGUCCCUAUAAGCCUCUGUUGAAAUUCAUCCCCAGGAAAAGGUCUAAAAGACGCAAAAAGCCACAGCUGCUAAAAUAUGUACGGUAUCGUCAACAGCAAAAAACCCUGGACACAACCUCUGUGUCCAUUAGGCGAAGAACUUACCAAAAAUAUGGGAAGGCCACAUGGAGGCAUUGGAUAAAGCCAUUAAAAUGGGCUUUAAAGUGAAAAUUGUGAGGAUUUUGUGGAAAUACAGAAAACACCUAACGAAGUGCUAAGUAAACAUGGUGCGUCAUAAGCACGAGAGAGGGGCCCUCUGGACAAGCUCGUCUGUGCUGAGCUGCGGCCGAGGGCCCACUGCGGGCAGGAGCAUGGCACUUGCUCGGGCAGUUGGUGAAUGAAUGCCCAAUGUAUUUUGCAUUCAUUUUUUUCUUUCUUGUCACGACACCAUCUUUUUAAUAAUACUAAAUAAAUAUUCUAAAACAAUGAACCCAUGGAGGGACCAUCUGCUCUGGGAAGCCCCUGGCCCGGGAACUGUGGGAAAGACAGGAAGCAGAAAGGUCAGCGCGCCCCAGGGAAAUCCCACUGUCGGCCGGGUGGGCGGCACGCAGGGGAACC
rnacentral:lncRNA from 1 species